CAGGAUUUUAAAAUUUGUAUUUUGCUGUCAUCCGUAACAUUACUUGUAAAAAAAAAAAAAGUGAUAAUGAUUAGAAUGUGAUCUUUUUCUUUGGGGAUACAAUAAAAUAUGUUUCCAACUUAAUUCAUUUGCAGUCCAAGUAAAAGUAGACUGCACAAAGCCGUUAUUGGGGAGAUGGCCGUGGGAAGUAAUCAGAAAUAUUCUGAAAAGAGUUGAUUCGAUAGUGCCAUUCACAUUGGUGUGAACGAUGUUUAACAGGGGGCUUCGGUAUGAGACUUAGGAAUGUCAUUUCUUUUAUAAAACUGACAAGCAAACAAAGACAAUGCUACCAUCAAAUUUCAAAUGGACUUUUUCUUUAAGUUGCAAUGAAGUUCAAAUAUGGGGAAUUAAAGGCAUGUGUGGAAACACAACGAAAAAAUUUUAAUAAACAGCAGUAACAAAAUCUUCAUCUCACUUUGGAAACGACGAGUCCUUUCACAAUUUUUAUGUCAAAGACUUAAAACAUUUCAAGCCAACCAGGCAAAGGUUGAUCGAGAGCUGUGCCAUCUCUAUGGAUAGUUUAUGGAGAAAGCAUCAUAUUUGGAAUUAUCACUGUCAUCGUUUCCUCUCUGAACAUUUCCAAUGAGUUUCCUUUAUUUGAAUUUCUUGGCAAUAAGCAUUAAUUCUUGCAGUAAUGGCAGCUUUGGGUUCAAUCCUGCAGGUUAUAAGUAAAAACAAAACAAAACAAAAUGAAUAAAGAAAGAAGAAAAUAAACACAAGCUAGCCUUUAAUAUGGACUGUUGAGCAUUUUUAUUGUGCAAUAAAAUGGGUACCUC
rnacentral:lncRNA from 1 species